CCAAUGGAUGGCUAGGGUUCCGAUCGCAUCACCUACUCACCCCGAUGCGAUGACUGGUCCGAGAGCCAUCGACCCGCCGCACUGAACGAGUAUGGCUGACGACGGGUUACACGGCGGGAGAAAAGCCCGGGAGGA
rnacentral:sRNA from 2 species